rnacentral:rRNA from 1 species
UCCGCGCACUCUCAUAGAGUAUGAUCAUGGCUCAGAUUGUUCGCUGGCGGCAUGCCUUACACAUGCAAGUCGAACGGCAGCACGGGAGCAAUCCUGGUGGCGAGUGGCGAACGGGUGAGUAAUAUAUCGGAACGUGCCCAGUAGUGGGGGAUAGCCCGGCGAAAGCCGGAUUAAUACCGCAUACGACCUGAGGGUGAAAGCGGGGGAUCGCAAGACCUCGCGCUACUGGAGCGGCCGAUAUCAGAUUAGCUAGUUGGUGGGGUAAAGGCCUACCAAGGCAACGAUCUGUAGUUGGUCUGAGAGGACGACCAGCCACACUGGGACUGAGACACGGCCCAGACUCCUACGGGAGGCAGCAGUGGGGAAUUUUGGACAAUGGGCGCAAGCCUGAUCCAGCAAUGCCGCGUGCAGGAAGAACGCCUUCGGGUUGUAAACUGCUUUUGUCAGGAAGAAAUCUUCUGGGCUAAUACCCCGGGAGGAUGACUGGUACCUGAAGAAUAAGCACCGGCUAACUACGUGCCAGCAGCCGCGGUAAUACGUAGGGUGCGAGCGUUAAUCGGAAUACUGGGCGUAAAGCGUGCGCAGGCGGCUUUGCAGAAAAGAGGUGAAAUUCCCCAGGGCUCAACCUGGGAACUGCCUUUGUGACUGCAAGGCUAGAGUACGGCAAAGGGGAUGGGAUUCCCCGUGGAACAAGUGA